AACGAACGCUGGCGGCAUGCCUAACACAUGCAAGUCGGACGAGACCUUCGGGUCUAGUGGCGCACGGGUGCGUAACGCGUGGGAAUCUGCCCUUGGGUUCGGAACAACAGUUGGAAACGACUGCUAAUACCGGAUGAUGACUUCGGUCCAAAGAUUUAUCGCCCAGGGAUGAGCCCGCGUCGGAUUAGCUGGUUGGUGAGGUAAAAGCUCACCAAGGCGACGAUCCGUAGCUGGUCUGAGAGGAUGAUCAGCCACACUGGGACUGAGACACGGCCCAGACUCCUACGGGAGGCAGCAGUGGGGAAUAUUGGACAAUGGGCGAAAGCCUGAUCCAGCAAUGCCGCGUGAGUGAUGAAGGCCUUAGGGUUGUAAAGCUCUUUUACCCGGGAUGAUAAUGACAGUACCGGGAGAAUAAGCCCCGGCUAACUCCGUGCCAGCCGCCGCCGUAAAAC
rnacentral:rRNA from 1 species